CAAGCAAGGUAUCGGCGGAACAGGUUCUGUGUACAGCUCCCCAUAGGCUUCCCAGCAGAAGGGUUCAUACAUGUGGUACUGUUCUUGAAGUGGCUCGAGCUCGACCUCAUUUAAUGUUAUAUCAGAGCAAGGUUCUCCUGUCACAGUAGAACUGGUCUAUGAUGAUUGGUGUUUGGACUUCGGAGACUCUUAUGUUUGAGAACCUUACGCCUUGUACAGAGCCCGAGCCGCCCUGCAAGGAGAGGUUGUUUCUUUAGAAUAUCUUGUAGAAUAAGCAACGGAAGGGUAUCGAUGAUUAAUAAGAAAGAUGUUUAGUGCUCUUUUGGCAUUGUCUAUGUGGGGUUUAAAUCUUACUACCACCCAUCCAAGAGUUUAGACAUCUCGUUUGGUUUUUUAAUAUUAAAAAAAACAAAGGAUUGAUGGCUUGUGUGGAAAUAUUGGCCCUUAAAUGGGUAAGGUGUAAGAUUUUUACCCACUUUUUUUGUGUAAAGUAGCAUUGCUCUGAUUAAAAAGGCACUGUGGGAUGAUUUUUUUUAAUUUUGCUAUUUCA